AGGGGAGCGAACCGGAUUAGAUACCCCGGUAGUCUGCAGUAAACGUGCUACUAGGUCGGAGGUCUCUGACAGGGUUCCGGCGGAACUAAAGCGUUAAGUAGGCCGCUGGGGAGUACGGUCGCAAGGCUAAAACUCAAAGGAAUUGACGGGGGCUCACACAAGCGGUGGAGCAUGUUGCUUAAUUCGAUGCAACGCGAAGAACCUUAUCCUGGGCUUGACAUGAUCGGAUGCCCGCCUGGAAACAGGUUGGGCUGCCCUUCGGGGUGGAACGAUCACAGGUGCUGCAUGGCUGUCGUCAGCUCGUGUCGUGAGAUGUUGGGUUAAGUCCCGUAACGAGCGAAACCCUUGUCGCUAGUUGCCAGCGCGUCAUGGCGGGGACUCUAGCGAGACUGCCGGUGUGAAACCGGAGGAAGGUGGGGAUGACGUCAAGUCCUCAUGGCCUUUAUGCCCAGGGCUGCAAACGUGCUACAAUGGCCGGUACAGACCGACGCGAGACCGCGAGGUGGAGCAAAUCGGAAAAAGCCGGCCCCAGUUCGGAUUGGAGUCUGCAACUCGACUCCAUGAAGUUGGAAUCGCUAGUAAUCGCAGAUCAGCCACGCUGCGGUGAAUGUGUUCCUGAGCCUUGUACA
rnacentral:rRNA from 1 species